GGCCUAACACAUGCAAGUCGAGGGGUAUAUUUCUUCGGAGAUAGAGACCGGCGCACGGGUGCGUAACGCGUAUGCAAUCUGCCUUUCACAGAGGGAUAGCCCAGAGAAAUUUGGAUUAAUACCUCAUAGUAUUACAGGAUGGCAUCGUCCAGUAAUUAAAGUCACAACGGUGAAAGAUGAGCAUGCGUCCCAUUAGCUAGUUGGUAAGGUAACGGCUUACCAAGGCAACGAUGGGUAGGGGUCCUGAGAGGGAGAUCCCCCACACUGGUACUGAGACACGGACCAGACUCCUACGGGAGGCAGCAGUGAGGAAUAUUGGUCAAUGGGCGCAAGCCUGAACCAGCCAUGCCGCGUGCAGGAUGACGGUCCUAUGGUGUGUAAACUGCUUUUGUACGGGAAGAAACAGCUCUUCGUGAAGAGCCUUGACGGUACCGUAAGAAUAAGGAUCGG
rnacentral:rRNA from 1 species